CGAUUCCCUUAGUAGCGGCGAGCGAAACGGGAAGAGCCCAAACCAAAAAGCUUGCUUGUUGGGGUUGUAGGACACUCUAUACGGAGUUACAAAGGACGACAUUAGACGAAUCAUCUGGAAAGAUGAAUCAAAGAAGGUAAUAAUCCUGUAGUCGAAAAUGUUGUCUCUCUUGAGUGGAUCCUGAGUACGACGGAGCACGUGAAAUUCCGUCGGAAUCUGGGAGGACCAUCUCCUAAGGCUAAAUACUCUCUAGUGACCGAUAGUGAACCAGUACCGUGAGGGAAAGGUGAAAAGCACCCCGGAAGGGGAGUGAAAUAGAACCUGAAACCGUGUGCUUACAAGUAGUCAGAGCCCGUUAAUGGGUGAUGGCGUGCCUUUUGUAGAAUGAACCGGCGAGUUACGAUUUGAUGCAAGGUUAAGCAGUAAAUGUGGAGCCGUAGCGAAAGCGAGUCUGAAUAGGGCGUUUAGUAUUUGGUCGUAGACCCGAAACCAGGUGAUCUACCCUUGGUCAGGUUGAAGUUCAGGUAACACUGAAUGGAGGACCGAACCGACUUACGUUGAAAAGUGAGCGGAUGAACUGAGGGUAGCGGAGAAAUUCCAAUCGAACCUGGAGAUAGCUGGUUCUCUCCGAAAUAGCUUUAGGGCUAGCCUCAAGUGAUGAUUAUUGGAGGUAGAGCACUGUUUGGACGAGGGGCCCCUCUCGGGUUACCGAAUUCAGACAAACUCCGAAUGCCAAUUAAUUUAACUUGGGAGUCAGAACAUGGGUGAUAAGGUCCGUGUUCGAAAGGGAAACAGCCCAGACCACCAGCUAAGGUCCCAAAAUAUAUGUUAAGUGGAAAAGGAUGUGGCGUUGCCCAGACAACUAGGAUGUUGGCUUAGAAGCAGCCAUCAUUUAAAGAGUGCGUAAUAGCUCACUAGUCGAGUGACACUGCGCCGAAAAUGUACCGGGGCUAAACAUAUUACCGAAGCUGUGGAUUGUCCUUUGGACAAUGGUAGGAGAGCGUUCUAAGGGCGUUGAAGCAUGAUCGUAAGGACAUGUGGAGCGCUUAGAAGUGAGAAUGCCGGUGUGAGUAGCGAAAGACGGGUGAGAAUCCCGUCCACCGAUUGACUAAGGUUUCCAGAGGAAGGCUCGUCCGCUCUGGGUUAGUCGGGUCCUAAGCUGAGGCCGACAGGCGUAGGCGAUGGAUAACAGGUUGAUAUUCCUGUACCACCUAUAAUCGUUUUAAUCGAUGGGGGGACGCAGUAGGAUAGGCGAAGCGUGCGAUUGGAUUGCACGUCUAAGCAGUAAGGCUGAGUAUUAGGCAAAUCCGGUACUCGUUAAGGCUGAGC
rnacentral:rRNA from 1 species